ensembl:lncRNA
CCAACUUAAAAUAGAAAAGCAGGUGUCCUACGGCAAAAAGUGCGCAAGGUGAAUCUCCAGGAACAGAAUUGAGCACCCCUGCUGUUUUUACAGGAACAGCUACCACAAAAUAACCUGAAGAUGAGUGUUUUGAUCAGUGAUGUAUCAUGGAUGAUAUUUAGGCAAUUAACCACUUUUAAGCUUACUAGCUUAAAUUACUGACCUUUUAAGCUUACUGGCUUACUAGCGCAUGCCAUUCUUUAUACAUUGUGUGUGUGUGUGUGUGUGUGUGUGUGUGUGUGUGUGUGUGUGUGUGUGUGUGUGUGUUUGUUUAUGCCACUUAACCCUGCCUUAGAUGGUGGAGAAAAACAAUGCACCAUUUCAGGCCUCUUCUCUUCCUCUCUCUUAUGGGCCAGGCACCACUAAAUGCUGACAUUUCAAAAAGAGGAAGCCCAUACAGUGAAAGCUUACAUGAUAUCGGGAAAGUGAAAUUUGAAAGUUUCGGUUGCGCAGAAAGAAGAAGUUUACCAGCCUCUUACUGGAAAAGACCCCCCCGACUCCACCCCGACUUUAGUUCCACAUAUUUGGCCAAAAAAAAAAAAAAGAAAUUAAAAAUUGGCUGUAUUUACACCACCGGACGGGAAAUAAGAGCAGAUCCUGCAAAAAUAUCUUCUUUCAACAAAGAACAUAAUGGCACAUGCAUUUGGAAGAACGAGAGGAUCCAUUGGCUGGGAUCUCUACGGCGGAAUGCUGCUGGGACCCCCUUCUAACCUCCCCCCAACCCUCCCCUUGAGUGCACCCACCCAUUAGGAAUUCCAGCAGGGCAUUGUGGGUGGGAUGAAUGGGGUCAGAGCCAAGGAAUGAAGUAGGAAGUUUUCACAAGAGUUUAGCCUUUAUUUUGCAUGGCUUUGUUUUGUUUUAUCUGAAGCUUGGAAAAGUGCCCUGACUACUGAUUCAAAUACGGCUAACAAUAUUUAACAUACUUAUAUUUUAUAUGUUUCAGUGUCUUUAUCUAUCUAUCUAUCGUUCUAUCUAUCGUUCUAUCUAUCGUUCUAUCAUUCUAUCUAUCUAUCGUUCUAUCUAUCAUUCUAUCUAUCGUUCUAUUGUUAUAUCGUUCAUUCUAUCUAACGUUCUAUCCUUCUGUCUGUCUGUCUGUCUGUCUGUCUAUCUAUCUGUCCUUCUAUCUAUUGUUCUAUCUAAUGUUCUAUCUGACAUUCUAUCUAUCAUUCUAUCUAUCCUUCUAUCUGUCUGUCUGUCUAUCUAUAUAUCAUUCUAUAGUUCUAUAGUUCUAUCUAUCUUUCUAGCAUUAUAACUCUCGUUAUAUCAUUCAGUUUCUCUGCCAUCUAUCUAUCUAUCUAUCUAUCUAUCUAUCUAUCUAUCUAUCUAUCUAUCUAUCUAUCUAUCUAUCUAUCUAUCUAUCUAUCUAUCUAUCUAUCUAUCUGACCAACUAAGACCAGCAAACUAGAUUAAUCUGGUUUAACUUGGACUUGUUGGACAAGUUUAGAGAGAAUUGGUUGCAUUGCUAUCUCCUAGUACUACUACAUAUUAUUUGGGAAAGAGCAUAUCUACUAUGUUAUGGCCUAUUUAAUUGUGUUUGUAACUACAAAGGCCUAGCUCUACACACCCAUUACAAUAGUACAUGUAACUUGAAAAUACAACCUUAAUUUAAUUCUGUAAAUCAUUUUAGGCAUAUCCAAUUCCUAAAUUAGUUUACCUUUAAUAAAGCAGUUUAAGGGAGUUUAUUGGCGCCA